UGAACGCUGGCGGCGUGCCUAAUACAUGCAAGUCGAGCGAACAGACGAGGAGCUUGCUCCUCUGACGUUAGCGGCGGACGGGUGAGUAACACGUGGAUAACCUACCUAUAAGACUGGGAUAACUUCGGGAAACCGGAGCUAAUACCGGAUAAUAUAUUUAACCGCAUGGUUCAAUAGUGAAAGACGGUUUUGCUGUCACUUAUAGAUGGAUCCGCGCCGCAUUAGCUAGUUGGUAAGGUAACGGCUUACCAAGGCAACGAUGCGUAGCCGACCUGAGAGGGUGAUCGGCCACACUGGAACUGAGACGCGGUCCAGACUCCUACGGGAGGCAGCAGUAGGGAAUCUUCCGCAAUGGGCGAAAGCCUGACGGAGCAACGCCGCGUGAGUGAUGAAGGUCUUCGGAUCGUAAAACUCUGUUAUUAGGGAAGAACAAAUGUGUAAGUAACUAUGCACGUCUUGACGGUACCUAAUCAGAAAGCCACGGCUAACUACGUG
rnacentral:rRNA from 1 species